CACGUAGGGUGCGAGCGUUGUCCGGAAUUAUUGGGCGUAAAGAGCUCGUAGGCGGUGUGUCGCGUCGGCCGUGAAAACCUGCAGCUUAAACUGUGGGCUUGCGGUCGAUACGGGCAUCACUGGAGUUCGGCAGGGGAGACUGGAAUUCCUGGUGUAGCGGUGAAAUGCGCAGGAUAUCAGGAGGAACACCGGUGGCGAAGGCGGGUCUCUGGGCCGAUGACUGA
rnacentral:rRNA from 1 species